rnacentral:RNase_P_RNA from 1 species
CUUGUUCCUAAAAUAUUGAUGAGGAAAGUCCGGACAACGUAGAGCACCACACCAUCUAACGGAUGGGAUUCGACUUCGGUCGGGUACAGAAAGUGUCACAGAAAGCUAUACCGCCGAUGUUCUCGCUAGUCGAGAGCAGGUAAGGGUGAAAACGUGCGGUAAGAGCGCACGCAUUGCCGUAGCAAUAGGGUGAUGGGAUAAACCUUGUGGGUUGAAAUGCCACGUACACUUCGAUCUCCAGAUACGGAGGUCCGGUUGCUCGCUGGGUUGGUUUCGGCCAGUCGGAGGGGGUAGGCAGAUGGAGUCUGAUCGCGAGGUCAGAUCUAGAUAAAUGAUAGGGGGGUACUUCGGUAUCUAACAGAAUCCGGCUUAUAGCUC